rnacentral:rRNA from 1 species
AGCGAACGCUGGCGGCAGGCCUAACACAUGCAAGUCGAACGAUCCUUCGGGAUAGUGGCGGACGGGUGAGUAACACGUGGGAACGUGCCCUUUGGUUCGGAACAACCCAGGGAAACUUGAGCUAAUACCGAAUGUGCCCUUCGGGGGAAAGAUUUAUCGCCAUUGGAGCGGCCCGCGUCUGAUUAGUUAGUUGGUGAGGUAAUGGCUCACCAAGGCGACGAUCAGUAGCUGGUCUGAGAGGAUGAUCAGCCACACUGGGACUGAGACACGGCCCAGACUCCUACGGGAGGCAGCAGUGGGGAAUCUUGCGCAAUGGGCGAAAGCCUGACGCAGCCAUGCCGCGUGAAUGAUGAAGGUCUUAGGAUUGUAAAAUUCUUUCACCGGGGACGAUAAUGACGGUACCCGGAGAAGAAGCUCCGGCUAACUUCGUGCCAGCCGCCGCGGUAACAC